UAGGGAAUCUUCCACAAUGGACGCAAGUCUGAUAGAGCAACGCCGCGUGAGUGAAGAAGGGUUUCGGCUCGUAAAGCUCUGUUGUUAAAGAAGAACGUGGGUAAGAGUAACUGUUUACCCAGUGACGGUAUUUAACCAGAAAGCCACGGCUAACUACGUGCCAG
rnacentral:rRNA from 1 species